rnacentral:rRNA from 1 species
GACGAACGCUGGCGGCGUGCCUAAUACAUGCAAGUCGAGCGAGCUUGCCUAGAUGAAUUUGGUGCUUGCACCAAAUGAAACUAGAUACAAGCGAGCGGCGGACGGGUGAGUAACACGUGGGUAACCUGCCCAAGAGACUGGGAUAACACCUGGAAACAGAUGCUAAUACCGGAUAACAACACUAGACGCAUGUCUAGAGUUUAAAAGAUGGUUCUGCUGUCACUCUUGGAUGGACCUGCGGUGCAUUAGCUAGUUGGUAAGGCAACGGCUUACCAAGGCAAUGAUGCAUAGCCGAGUUGAGAGACUGAUCAGCCACAUUGGGACUGAGACACGGCCCAAACUCCUACGGGAGGCAGCAGUAGGGAAUCUUCCACAAUGGACGCAAGUCUGAUGGAGCAACGCCGCGUGAGUGAAGAAGGGUUUCGGCUCGUAAAGCUCUGUUGGUAGUGAAGAAAGAUAGAGGUAGUAACUGGCCUUUAUUUGACGGUAAUUACUUAGAAAGUCACGGCUAACUACGUG